rnacentral:rRNA from 1 species
GACGAACGCUGGCGGCGUGCCUAAUACAUGCAAGUUGAGCGAUGAAGAUUGGUGCUUGCACCAAUUUGAAGAGCAGCGAACGGGUGAGUAACGCGUGGGGAAUCUGCCUUUGAGCGGGGGACAACAUUUGGAAACGAAUGCUAAUACCGCAUAACAACUUUAAACAUAAGUUUUAAGUUUGAAAGAUGCAAUUGCAUCACUCAAAGAUGAUCCCGCGUUGUAUUAGCUAGUUGGUGAGGUAAAGGCUCACCAAGGCGAUGAUACAUAGCCGACCUGAGAGGGUGGUCGGCCACAUUGGGACUGAGACACGGCCCAAACUCCUACGGGAGGCAGCAGUAGGGAAUCUUCGGCAAUGGACGAAAGUCUGACCGAGCAACGCCGCGAGAGUGAAGAAGGUUUUCGGAUCGUAAAACUCUGUUGGUAGAGAAGAACGUUGGUGAGAGUGGAAAGCUCAUCAAGUGACGGUAACUACCCAGAAAGGGACGGCUAACUACGUG